UACGAAGGGGGCUAGCGUUGCUCGGAAUCACUGGGCGUAAAGCGCACGUAGGCGGAUUGUUAAGUCAGGGGUGAAAUCCUGGAGCUCAACUCCAGAACUGCCUUUGAUACUGGCGAUCUCGAGUCCGGGAGAGGUGAGUGGAACUGCGAGUGUAGAGGUGAAAUUCGUAGAUAUUCGCAAGAACACCAGUGGCGAAGGCGGCGACCUGGGUCGAGACUGACGCUGAGGCGCGAAAGCGUGGGGAGCAAACAGG
rnacentral:rRNA from 1 species